GACGACCGGCGCACGGGUGCGUAACGCGUAUAGGACCUACCUUUUACUGGGGAAUAGCCCAGAGAAAUUUGGAUUAAUGCCCCAUGGUAUGCUUAGAUGGCAUCGUUUGAGUAUUAAAGAUUUAUCGGUAAGAGAUGGCUAUGCGUUCUAUUAGCUAGUUGGUAUGGUAACGGCAUACCAGGGCUACGAUAGAUAGGGGUCCUGAGAGGGAGAUCCCCCACACUGGUACUGAGACACGGACCAGACUCCUACGGGAGGCAGCAGUGAGGAAUAUUGGACAAUGGAGGCAACUCUGAUCCAGCCAUGCCGCGUGCAGGAAGACUGCCCUAUGGGUUGUAAACUGCUUUUAUAGAGGAAGAAACCCACUCUCGUGAGGGUGGCUGGCGGUACUCUACGAAUAAGGAUCGGCUAACUCCGUGCCAGCAGCCGCGGUAAUACGGAGGAUCCAAGCGUUAUCCGGAAUCAUUGGGUUUAAAGGGUCCGUAGGCGGGUUUAUAAGUCAGUGGUGAAAGUUUUCGGCUCAACCGAAAAAUUGCCAUUGAUACUGUAGAUCUUGAAUUAUUGUGAAGUGGUUAGAAUAAGUAGUGUAGCGGUGAAAUGCAUAGAUAUUACUUAGAAUACCGAUUGCGAAGGCAGAUCACUAACAAUUAAUUGACGCUAAGGGACGAAAGCGUGGGUAGCGAACAGGAUUAGAUACCCUGGUAGUCCACGCCGUAAACGAUGGUUACUAGCUGUUUGGUUUUCGGACUGAGUGGCUAAGCGAAAGUGAUAAGUAACCCACCUGGGGAGUACGUUCGCAAGAAUGAAACUCAAAGGAAUUGACGGGGGCCCGCACAAGCGGUGGAGCAUGUGGUUUAAUUCGAUGAUACGCGAGGAACCUUACCAGGGCUUAAAUGUAG
rnacentral:rRNA from 1 species